GGGUUAGUGAGGUAUUCAGUCAGAGUAGAUGUGAUUAGUUUCUCUCAUGUGUUAAGUUUUAUAGGGCAAAGAGGUAAAGUUCGAUAACUGAUGGUGAAAUUAAUUAUUGAGUUGGAGAUUAUUAAUCUUUGGAGGCUGAGUGAUAAAACAGGAUUAGAUACCCUGCUAUACUUUGUUGAAUUUAAUUCUCUGGGGUAGUAAAUAGAUAUAGGCUUGAAACUCAAAGGAUUUGGCGGUAUCUAAGUCCAGUUAGAGGAACUUGUUCUUUAAACGAUGAACCACGACUAUCUUACUUUACUUUGUAAUAUCAGUAUGUAUACCGCCAUUAUUAGAUAGCUUUUAUAAAAUUUUAUCAUAAUUGAGUUUUAUAAAUUCAAAGAUAUUAGGUCAAGGUGCAGCUAAUAGUGAAGCAAGUAAUGAGUUACAAUUUUGUAUAAAAUAUGGAUUAGGAGUGUAAGUAGUAUUCCCAUGAAGGUGGAUUUAAUUGUAAUUUAGGUAAAUUGAGCUUUGAUGGUAAAGGCUCUUAGAUAUGUACACAUUGCCCGUCGUUCUCGCUUU
rnacentral:rRNA from 1 species